rnacentral:rRNA from 1 species
AUGCUGUCGCUCAGGCAGGUCAGUGGUGGUUGGCUAGCUCAAGAAUCUGACGAUCUAACCCCAGAAGACAUCACCUUCACGACGGGUUCUGAGAGAGCUCCGACGGACAGUGAGCUCUCGGAUGCCAAGUUCGCCUGGCUCUGUGUGAAGCACGUCAAGAGCAACGCCAUUGUGAUUGCCAAGGACAACUGCAUGCUGGGCAUGGGUAGCGGGCAGCCAAACAGGGUGGACAGCCUGAGGAUCGCCUUCAGGAAAGCAGGGGAAGCCGCCAAGGGAGCCGCUCUGGCCAGCGACGCCUUCUUCCCAUUCGCUUGGAAGGAUGCCGUGGAGGAAGCAUGUGAGAACGGCAUCAGCACGAUUGCGCAGCCUGGCGGCAGCAUGAGGGACAAGGACGCCGUCGACUGA